UACCAGCUCUCCGAGUGGUAGGGAUGAUUAUUGGGCUUAAAGCGUCCGUAGCCGGCUUAGCAAGUCUCUUGUAAAACCCAAUGAUUCAAUCAUUGACACGCAAGAGAUACUGUUAUGCUAGAGGACGGGAGAGGUCGACGGUAGUCCAGGGGUAGGGGUGAAAUCCUAUAAUCCUUGGAGGACCACCAGUGGCGAAGGCGGUCGACUAGAACGUGCCUGACGGUGAGGGACGAAAGCUGGGGGAGCGAACCGGAUUAGAUACCCGGGUAGUCCCAGCUGUAAACGAUGCGGGCUAGGUGUUGGGGUAGCUACGAGCUACUCCAGUGCCGCAGAGAAGUUAUUAAGCCCGCCGCCUGGGGAGUACGGCCGCAAGGCUGAAACUUAAAGGAAUUGGCGGGGGAGCACCACAAGGGGUGAAGGCUGCGGUUU
rnacentral:rRNA from 1 species